rnacentral:lncRNA from 1 species
AGGAUGUAGUAGCUCUGCAGGUUGGCUAGUUUCCUGUUCUUCCCAACCUGCGCUAUGGACUUCAUCAGAUUUCAGCAUCAGAGAGAAUAUGGAAGGACAUCGACCCUAACUUCAUCCAGUGAGGAUUUCCACACACCAUACACUCUCUGAGAGUUCUCUUGGCUUUGUGUGCACACCUCCAGUGACAGGGAGCUCGCUAUGUCAUGAGGCAGCCUGCUCCCUUGUGGCUAUCACUGAACCAACUAUUAAGCCUUCUUAUACAAACAGUCCCUGACUUACUGUUAGACUUACAACUUUUUGAUUUUACAGUGGUGCAAAAGCAAUAUGCAUUCCAUAGAAACUGUAUUUCAAAUUUUGAAUUUUGAUCUUUUCCAGGCUAGCAACAUAUGAAGACCAACCUUCUAUUUUUAAAAUAGGCUUUGUGUUAGAUGCUUUUGCCCAACUAUAGGUUAAUGUAAAUGUUCUGAGAAUAUUUGAGGAAGGCUAGGCUAAACUGUGAUCUUUGGGAGCUUAGAUAUGUUAAGUGCAUUUUCAACUUACAAUAUUUUCAACUUACGAUGAGUUUAUUGGGAUGAAGCCCGUUGUAAGUAAAGGAGCAUCUGCAUUAAGCUAAAAUCCAUGUCUAUAACUUCCUCAGUAAUAUCAAGUUUGUUCCUUGGAGCCAGAGAAUAAACUGAAUCCUU